rnacentral:rRNA from 1 species
AACAAACGCUGGCGGCGUGCCUAAUACAUGCAAGUCGAACGGGGAAAGCUUUCGGGUGAGUACUCGUGGCGCACGGGUGAGUAACGCGUGGAUAAUCUGCCUUAGAGUGGGGGAUAACUAGUCGAAGGAUUAGCUAAUACCGCAUAAGACUACAAGAACUGCGGUUCAAGGGGUCAAAGGUUUUUCGCUCUAAGAUGAGUCAGCGUAAGAUUAGCUAGUUGGUAGGGUAACGGCCUACCAAGGCGACGAUCUUUAACUGGUCUGAGAGGAUGAUCAGUCACACUGGAACUGAGACACGGUCCAGACUCCUACGGGAGGCAGCAGUAGGGAAUAUUGCACAAUGGAGGAAACUCUGAUGCAGCGACGCCGCGUGAGUGAUGAAGGCCUUCGGGUCGUAAAGCUCUGUCGCAGGGGAAGAACACAAUGAAGGUACCCUGUAAGAAAGGAUCGGCUAACUUCGUGCCAGCCGCCGCAGUAAGAC